rnacentral:rRNA from 1 species
GCAAGUCUGGUGCCAGCAGCCGCGGUAAUUCCAGCUCCAAUAGCGUAUAUUAAAGCUGUUGCAGUUAAAAAGCUCGUAGUUGAAUUUCGGGAUCAAUAUUUCGGUCAUGCCGUUGGUAUGCACUGUUAUCAUUGAUUUCUCACCUUCUAAAGAACCAUAAUGCCAUUAAUUUGGUGUUACGGGGAAUUAGGACUGUUACCUUGAAAAAAUUAGAGUGUUUAAAGCAGGCUCACGCUUGAAUACAUUAGCAUGGAAUAAUGAAAUAGGACAUCCGAUUCUAUUUUGUUGGUUUCUAGGAUCGAUGUAAUGAUUAAUAGGGAUAGUUGGGGGCAUUAGUAUUCAAUUGUCAGAGGUGAAAUUCUUGGAUUUAUUGAAGACUAACUACUGCGAAAGCAUUUGCCAAGGAUGUUUUCAUUAAUCAGGGAACGAAAGUUAGGGGAUCGAAGACGAUCAGAUACCGUCGUAGUCUUAACCAUAAACUAUGCCGACUAGGGAUCGGACGGGAUUCUAUGAUGACCCGUUCGGCGCCUUACGGGAAAC